GUUAGGAAUAUUGGACAAUGGGCGCAAGCCUGAUCCAGCCAUGCCGCGUGAGUGAUGAAGGCCUUCGGGUUGUAAAGCUCUUUAGCCGAUGAUUAUAAUGACUGUAGUCGGAAAAUAAGCCCCGGCUAACUUCGUGCCAGCAGCCGCGGUAAUACGAAGGGGGCGAGCGUUAUUCGGAAUCACUGGGCGUAAAGCGUGCGUAGGCGGCUUUGCAAGUUGGGAGUGAAAGCCCAGGGCUCAACCCUGGAAUUGCUCUCAAAACUGCAAGGCUCGAAUUCGGGAGAGGAUAGCGGAAUUGUCAGUGUAGCAGUGAAAUGCGUAGAUAUUGACGGGAACACCAGUGGCGUAAGCGGCUAUCUGGACCGAUAUUGACGCUGAGGCACGAAAGCGUGGGGAGCAAACAGGAUUAGAUACCCCGGUAGUCC
rnacentral:rRNA from 1 species